rnacentral:rRNA from 1 species
UGGGGAAUAUUGCACAAUGGGCGCAAGCCUGAUGCAGCCAUGCCGCGUGUGUGAAGAAGGCCUUCGGGUUGUAAAGCACUUUCAGCGGGGAGGAAGGCGAUAAGGUUAAUAACCUCAUCGAUUGACGUUACCCGCAGAAGAAGCACCGGCUAACUCCGUGCCAGCAGCCGCGGUAAUACGGAGGGUGCAAGCGUUAAUCGGAAUUACUGGGCGUAAAGCGCACGCAGGCGGUCUGUCAAGUCGGAUGUGAAAUCCCCGGGCUCAACCUGGGAACUGCAUUCGAAACUGGCAGGCUAGAGUCUUGUAGAGGGGGGUAGAAUUCCAGGUGUAGCGGUGAAAUGCGUAGAGAUCUGGGGGAAUACCGGUGGCGAAGGCGGCCCCCUGGACAAAGACUGACGCUCAGGUGCGAAAGCGUGGGGAGCAAACAGG